UGCAGUUAAAAAGCUCGUAGUUGGAUUUCUGCGGGGGCGGGGCGGCCGGUUGCUUAUAGCAACUCGAGCUAGCACUUCCCCUGCAUCCUGCCGCGAACCGUGCUACCAUUAGUUUGGUGGCGCCGGGGAUCGGCUCGUUUACUUUGAGAAAAAUAGAGUGUUCAAAGCAGGCCACACGCCUUGAAUAAGUUAGCAUGGAAUAAUGAUAAAGGACUUCGGUUCUAUUUUGUUGGUGUUCGGGACUGAAGUAAUGAUUGAUAGGGACAGUUGGGGCGGUCCGUAUUCCAAAGCGAGAGGUGAAAUUCUUAGACCUUCGGAAGACGAACAGCUGCGAAAGCGUUCCGCAAGGAUGUUCCCUUUGAUCAAGAACGAAAGUUGGGGGAUCGAAGACGAUCAGAUACCGUCGUAGUCUCAACUAUAAACUAUACCAGCUAGGGAUCGGCCAACGUUUAAUUAUUCGACUUGGUCGGCACCUUAUGAGAAAUCAAAGCAUCUGGGUUCCGGGGGGAGUAUGGUCGCAAGGCUGAAACUUAAAGGAAUUGACGGAAGGGCACCACCAGCCGUGGAGCCUGUGGCUUAAUUUGACUCAACACGGGAAAACUUACCAGGUCCAGACAUAGUAAGGAUUGACAGAUUGAUAGCUCUUUCUUGAUUCUGUGGGUGGUGGUGCAUG
rnacentral:rRNA from 1 species